rnacentral:rRNA from 1 species
UACGAAGGGGGCUAGCGUUGUUCGGAAUUACUGGGCGUAAAGGGCGCGUAGGCGGUGCCUCAAGUCAGGCGUGAAAGCCCCGGGCUCAACCUGGGAACCGCGCUUGAGACUGGAGUACUAGAGUUCGGGAGAGGAUGGUGGAAUUCCCAGUGUAGAGGUGAAAUUCGUAGAUAUUAGGAAGAACACCAGUGGCGAAGGCGGCUCACUGGCCCGGUACUGACGCUGAGGUGCGAAAGCGUGGGGAGCAAACAGG